CUCCCUCGUUGCUGACCCCAGGUUCGAUAGUGCCAAUGAGGCACCACCUCGCCAAGAACCAACUUCGAUGAAGCGACGGGCGGUGUGUGCAAGG
rnacentral:rRNA from 1 species